rnacentral:miRNA from 1 species
ACGCCAAUACCUUCCAGUUAGAAG